rnacentral:rRNA from 1 species
GACGAACGCUGGCGGCGUGCUUAACACAUGCAAGUCGAACGGAAAGGCCCUCCUUCUGUUGUGGGCUCGAGUGGCUCACGGGUGAGUCACACGUGAGUAACCUGCCCUUGCUUUUCGGAUAACUUCUGGAAACUUGGGCUAAUACCGGUUAUUAGCUCUUGCUGCAUGGUGGGGGUUGGGAAGUUUCGGCGGUUGGGGAUGGAGUUGGGGCUGAUCAGCCUGUUGGUCGGGUAGUGGCUUACGUAGGCUCUGACGGGUAGCCGGCCGGAGAGGGUGACCGGCCACAUUGGGAAUGAGACAAGGCCCAGACGCCUAGGGGAGGCAGCAGUGGGGAAUAGUGGACAAUGGGAGGAAGCCUGAUGCAGCGACGCCGGGUGCGGGGUGGCGGCCUUCGGGUUGUAGACCGCUUUCGCCUGUGAUGAAGGGUGAGUGACGGUAAUGGGUAAAGAAGCACCGGCUAACUACGUG